rnacentral:rRNA from 1 species
AUUGAACGCUGGCGGCAGGCCUAACACAUGCAAGUCGAACGAGCGGCGGACGGGUGAGUAAUGUAUGGGACACUGCCUGAUGGAGGGGGAUAACUACUGGAAACGGUAGCUAAUACCGCAUACCAUCGAAUGACCCCAUAUGGGAUUAGCUGGUAGGUGAGGUAACGGCUAACCUAGGCGACGAUCCCUAGCUGGUCUGAGAGGAUGAUAGGCCACACUGGAACGGAGACACGGACCAGAAUCCUACGGGAGGCAGCAGUGGGGAAUAUUGCACAAUGGGCGCAAGCCUUAUGCAGCCAUGCCGUGUGGAUGAAGAAGGCCUGCGGGUUGUAAAGUACUUUCAGGCGGGAGGCGUUACCGACAGAAGAAGCACCGGCUAACUCCGUGCCAGCAGCCGCGGUAAUAC